rnacentral:rRNA from 1 species
AUUGAACGCUGGCGGCAGGCCUAACACAUGCAAGUCGAGCGGAGCGGCUGACGGGCGAGUAAUGCCUAGGAAUCUGCCUGGUAGUGGGGGAUAACGUCCGGAAACGGGCGCUAAUACCGCAUACUAUCAGAUGAGCCUAGGUCGGAUUAGCUAGUUGGUGGGGUAAAGGCCUACCAAGGCGACGAUCCGUAACUGGUCUGAGAGGAUGAUCAGUCACACUGGAGCGGGGACACGAUCCAAACUCCUACGGGAGGCAGCAGUGGUGAUUAUUGGACAAUGGGCGACAGCCUGGUCCGUCCAUGCCGCGUGUGUGAAGAAUGUCUUCGGAUUGUGAAGCACUUUAAGUUGUGAGGCGUUACCAACAGAAUAAGCACCGGCUAACGUCGUGCCAGCAGCCGCGGUAAUAC